rnacentral:lncRNA from 1 species
UUCAACCCCCCCUUUUAGAUCCGUGCCAUAGUCUAACAGUGUCUGCACUGUCAAUCAGAGGGGAUGUCGCCGAGUUCGAAAAGACAUCCAAGAAAUGUUGGAUGAAGGUGUAAUUGAAAUACUUCAUAAUCGCAAUGGGGAUGAUGAAGUUAAUGUGAUAUCACCAGUGUUUCGGAUCCCAGAGCCUGUUGUCAUCCGAUAUGAUGGCAUCAAACCGAAGG